rnacentral:rRNA from 1 species
UACGUAGGAGGCAAGCGUUGUCCGGAGUUACUGGGCGUAAAGCGCGCGUAGGCGGACCUGCAAGUCGGGGGUGAAAUCCCGUGGCUCAACCACGGAAUGGCCUCGAUACUGGACGGCUCGAGACCGGAAGAGGUGAGUGGAACUGCGAGUGUAGAGGUGAAAUUCGUAGAUAUUACAAGGAACACCAAUGGCGAAGGCAGCUUGCUGGGCUACUCCUGACACUGAGGUACGAAAGCGUGGGGAGCGAACAGGAU